CCUACGGGAGGCAGCAGUCGAGAAUCAUUCACAAUGGGGGAAACCCUGAUGCAGCGACGCCGCGUGAGGGAAGACGGUCUUCGGAUUGUAAACCUCUGGCUUUGGGGAAGAAGAUGACGGUACCCAAAGAGGAAGCUCCGUCUAACUACGUGCCAACAGCCGCGGUAAUACGUAGGGAGCGAGCGUUGUCCGGAAUUACUGGGUGUAAAGGGAGCGUAGGCGGGGAUGCAAGUUGGAUGUGUAAACUAUCGGCUCAACCGGUAAUUGCAACCAAAACUGCAACUCUUGAGUGAAGUAGAGGCAGGCGGAAUUCCUAGUGUAGCGGUGAAAUGCGUAGAUAUUAGGAGGAACACCAGUGGCGAAGGCGGCCUGCUGGGCUUUAACUGACGCUGAGGCUCGAAAGCGUGGGGAGCAAACAGGAUUAGAUACCCUUGUAGUC
rnacentral:rRNA from 1 species